rnacentral:misc_RNA from 1 species
AGUUUCGCCUUUGCCUUCAGGGAGGAAUACCGACAAGUUACCUUCAUCACUGUUAGGUUCUGACCGUAACUGAAACAUGUUUUCACAUUCACCCACCCCACAGCACUGAGAAAUCUGUAGCUGGUAAACUUUUACCGGUGAAACAUGAUGCUUGAUCGUGAUGUAUCUUGUUGUAAAAAAUUGUUCUAGUUCUUGCGAGUAGCUUAUAUAUUUAUCAGGAUUGAAGGCUUUUCCAUCCCCAUAUUACUUGCUUG